GACAGAGGCCUCGAGCGUUAGGCGGAAUCACUGGGCUUAAAGCGUGUGUAGGUGGAUGCCUAAGUACCUUGUGAAAUCCCACAGCUUAACUGUGGAACUGCUUGGUAUACUGGGUGUCUUGAGUCACUCAGGGGCGAGCGGAACAAAUGGUGGAGCGGUGAAAUGCGUAGAUAUCAUUUGGAACGCCAAUGGUGAAAACAGCUCGCUGGGGGUGUACUGACACUGAGACACGAAAGCCAGGGGAGCGAACGGG
rnacentral:rRNA from 1 species